rnacentral:rRNA from 1 species
CCUACGGGCGGCAGCAGUGAGGAAUAUUGGUCAAUGGCCGAGAGGCUGAACCAGCCAAGUCGCGUGAGGGAAGACGGCCCUACGGGUUGUAAACCUCUUUUGUCGGGGAGCAAAGCGAACCACGUGUGGUUCAUUGAGGGUACCCGAAGAAAAAGCAUCGGCUAACUCCGUGCCAGCAGCCGCGGUAAUACGGAGGAUGCGAGCGUUAUCCGGAUUUAUUGGGUUUAAAGGGUGCGUAGGCGGAAGGUUAAGUCAGCGGUCAAAUGUCGGUGCUCAACACCGGCCUGCCGUUGAAACUGGUCUUCUUGAGUGAGCGAGAAGUAUGCGGAAUGCGUGGUGUAGCGGUGAAAUGCUUAGAUAUCACGAAGAACUCCGAUUGCGAAGGCAGUUCACUGGACUGCAACUGACACUGAGGCUCGAAAGUGUGGGUAUCAAACAGGAUUAGAUACCCGAGUAGUC